rnacentral:tRNA from 1 species
GACCUCGUAGUUUAGUUGGAUAAAACAAGCCCCUCCUAAGGGUUAGAGCGUGAGUUCGACUCUCACCGAGGCCACCA